rnacentral:lncRNA from 1 species
UGCUUGUGGAAUGAGAGCGAGGUCGCACGGAUAACAAGAACAUGCCUGUGCAUGUGUGUUCAGGUCGCAGAAGGUGGCCUACCUUCAUUUGAUUUUAUCAAGCCUAACUUGUCUCCUUUUGUGCAUGUAUGGCCCAACAGAUCACGGGUUCCCCAUUCCUUUCUUGCCUACCUGGCUUGUAAUUGGGCAAAGGAUAAAUAACAGCUGCUGGUCUCUUCCUUUUUUUAAUUAGAU